rnacentral:tRNA from 1 species
AUCCUUCUAGUAUAGUGGUAAUAUAGGUAGCUUCCAACUACUUGAUUUUGGUUCGAUUCCAUAGAAGGAUA